AUGGCCUGGGCCAUGGUCCUCUUCAUGCUCUUCUGUCACUGCACAGGUUCCCUGUCCCAGCCUGUGCUGACCCAGCCUCCCUCCCUCUCUGCAUCCCUGCGAUCAUCAGCCAGACUCACCUGCACCCUGAGCAGGGACAUAAAUGUUGGUAGUAAAAACAUGUACUGGUACCAGCAGAAGCCCGGAAGCCAUCCCCAUUUUUUCCUGUACUACUACUCAGACUCAGAUAAGCAGCUGGGACCUGGGGUCCCCAGUCGUGUCUCCGGAUCCAAAGAUACCUCCACCAAUACGGCAAUUAUGCUCAUCUCUGGGCUGCAGCCUGAGGACGAGGCUGACUAUUACUGUGCUAUAGCUCAUGGCAGUGGGAGCAGUUUUCAUUACCCACAGUGUCUCAGACAACAAGGAAAUGAGACAAAAACCCCUGGACACACAGACCUUGUCUCUGAGCCUCUUUUAUUGAGAAAUUUCUUGGGGCUUCCUGUCCUGCAGGUGCACCAGGCCCCACCAUUCCAUGGAUGUCAGCAGCCGGCAGCCUGCCAGACACAAGAGAUGCCAUCUCCUUCUGGCCAGGAGCUAAUGCAGCCUGCAGUCCUGCACCUGGCAGCACCAUCACAGCCCAGCAUCUCCAGCUGGAGCUGGUUCCUGACCAUUCUGCUGGUCCCUCCACAGAGCAGUCCCAGGCCAUUCCAGGCUCACUCCCACCUGCAGAGCUUGAUUCGAGAUUCAGGUAGUGUGAUAUGA